rnacentral:rRNA from 1 species
GACGAACGCUGGCGGCGUGCUUAACACAUGCAAGUCGAACGGAGGAUUUAUUUCGGUAAAUCCUUAGUGGCGAACGGGUGAGUAACGCGCGGGCAACCUGCCCUUCAGAUGGGGACAACAUCCCGAAAGGGGUGCUAAUACCGAAUACAAUCACGCUGCCGCAUGGCGGUGUGAUGAAAGAUGGCCUCUAUUUAUAAGCUAUCGCUGAAGGAUGGGCCUGCGUCUGAUUAGCUAGUUGGUGGGGUAACGGCCUACCAAGGCGAUGAUCAGUAGCCGGUCUGAGAGGAUGAACGGCCACAUUGGGACUGAGACACGGCCCAAACUCCUACGGGAGGCAGCAGUGGGGAAUAUUCCGCAAUGGACGAAAGUCUGACGGAGCAACGCCGCGUGAGUGAUGAAGGUUUUCGGACUGUAAAACUCUGUUGUUUAGGACGAAAGUGCCUGCUGCGAAUAGUUGCAGGUAUUGACGGUACUGAACGAGGAAGCCACGGCUAACUACGUGCCAGCCGCCGCGGUAAUAC